rnacentral:lncRNA from 1 species
CCUGCAGAGAGUGGACUCUGGUGGGUGCUUCCUUCCUCUGCUGCCUAACUGAGUCUGGCACAGGCUUUCUGCCUUGCCAUGAGGAGGAGGUGUAGACUUGUGAGUGCUCUCUCCGCUCUGAGUGGCCCUCGGGGAACCACCUGCUUUCCAUCUGUGGGGUGGGGCGCUCGCUCCGAGUAUGUGUGGCAAGGUGGAGGCCACAAUGCCAAGGUUCCCUAGUGUGUUUUUCUUUGUUGGUUCUUAAAAUUAUCAACCUUUGUUACGGAUGGGCCUCCACUAGGUGGCUGUGGGUAAAGUCUUGGGGGGAGGAUAGGAAAGGAGACCGGCUGAGCCUCAGGGCUAAUUGUACUGAGUAAGGACUGCAGCUCCC